UACGGGAGGCAGCAGUGAGGAAUAUUGGUCAAUGGCCGAGAGGCUGAACCAGCCAAGUAGCGUGCAGGAUGACGGCCCUAUGGGUUGUAAACUGCUUUUAUGCGGGGAUAAAGUCGGCUACGUGUAGCCGUUUGUAGGUACCGCAUGAAUAAGGACCGGCUAAU
rnacentral:rRNA from 1 species